GGCUUAAAGCGGUGGAGCUGGACGGAAAUUCUUCCUUUACACGGAAGAUGUCGGCGGUUCGAGCCCGUCAGCGCCCACCA
rnacentral:tRNA from 1 species